rnacentral:rRNA from 1 species
CAUCUAAGUACCCCGAGGAAAAGAAAUCAACCGAGAUUCCCCCAGUAGCGGCGAGCGAACGGGGAGCAGCCCAGAGCCUGAAUCAGUAUGUGUGUUAGUGGAAGCGUCUGGAAAGGCGCGCGAUACAGGGUGACAGCCCCGUACACAAAAAUGCACAUGCUGUGAGCUCGAUGAGUAGGGCGGGACACGUGGUAUCCUGUCUGAAUAUGGGGGGACCAUCCUCCAAGGCUAAAUACUCCUGACUGACCGAUAGUGAACCAGUACCGUGAGGGAAAGGCGAAAAGAACCCCGGCGAGGGGAGUGAAAAAGAACCUGAAACCGUGUACGUACAAGCAGUGGGAGCACGCUUAGGCGUGUGACUGCGUACCUUUUGUAUAAUGGGUCAGCGACUUAUAUUCUGUAGCAAGGUUAACCGAAUAGGGGAGCCGAAGGGAAACCGAGUCUUAACUGGGCGUUAAGUUGCAGGGUAUAGACCCGAAACCCGGUGAUCUAGCCAUGGGCAGGUUGAAGGUUGGGUAACACUAACUGGAGGACCGAACCGACUAAUGUUGAAAAAUUAGCGGAUGACUUGUGGCUGGGGGUGAAAGGCCAAUCAAACCGGGAGAUAGCUGGUUCUCCCCGAAAGCUAUUUAGGUAGCGCCUCGUGAAUUCAUCUCCGGGGGUAGAGCACUGUUUCGGCAAGGGGGUCAUCCCGACUUACCAACCCGAUGCAAACUGCGAAUACCGGAGAAUGUUAUCACGGGAGACACACGGCGGGUGCUAACGUCCGUCGUGAAGAGGGAAACAACCCAGACCGCCAGCUAAGGUCCCAAAGUCAUGGUUAAGUGGGAAACGAUGUGGGAAGGCCCAGACAGCCAGGAUGUUGGCUUAGAAGCAGCCAUCAUUUAAAGAAAGCGUAAUAGCUCACUGGUCGAGUCGGCCUGCGCGGAAGAUGUAACGGGGCUAAACCAUGCACCGAAGCUGCGGCAGCGACGCUGAUGCGUUGUUGGGUAGGGGAGCGUUCUGUAAGCCUGCGAAGGUGUGCU